rnacentral:lncRNA from 13 species
AUGCAUGUCAACAUCAGAAGCCUCCUCCCUAAGUUUGUUUUACUCACUGCUUUAGCACACUCUCCCAACCCUGAUGUCCUUGCCGUGUCUGAAUACUGGCUUAGGAAGGCCACCAAAAAUUCUGAGAUUUCCAUACCCAACUAUAACACUCUCCGUCAAGAUAGAACUGCCAAAGGUGGAGGAGUUGCAAUCUACUGCAGAGAUAGCCUGCAAAGUUCUGUCAUACUUUCCAGGUCUAUGCCCAAACAGUUCAAACUUCUAAUUUUAAAAAUGAAUCUCUCCAGAAAUAAGUCUCUCACUGUUGCCGCCUGCUACCGACCCCCCUCAGCUCCCAGAUGUGUACUGGACACCAUCUGUGAAUUGAUCGCCCCCCAUCUAGUUUCAGAGUUUGUUCUGUUAGGUGACCUAAACUGGGAUAUGCUUAACACCCCGGCAGUCCUACAAUCUAAACUAGAUGCCCUCAAUCUCACACAAAUCAUCAAGGAACCCACCAGGUACAAUCCUAAAUCCGUAAACAUGGGCACUCUAAUAGACAUUAUCCUGACCAACUUGCCCUCCAAUACGCCUCUGCUGUCUUCAAUCAGGAUCUCAGCGAUCACUGCCUCAUUUUCUGUAUCCGCUAUGGUCAAACGACCACCCCUCAUCACUGUCAAACGCUCCCUAAAACACUUCUGCGAGCAGGCCUUUCUAAUCGACCUGGCCUGGGUAUCCUGGAAGGAUAUUGACCUCAUCCCGUCAGUUGAGGAUGCCUGGUCAUUCUUUAAAAGUAACUUCCUCACCAUCUUAGACAAGCAUGCUCCGUUCAAAAAAUGCAGAACUAAGAACAGAUAUAGCCCUUGGUUCACUCCAGACCUGACUGCCCUCGACCAGCACAAAAACAUCCUGUGGCGGACUGCAAUAGCAUCGAAUAGUCCCCGCGAUAUGCAACUGUUCAGGGAAGUCAGGAACCAAUACACGCAGUCAGUCAGGAAAGCAAAGGCCAGCUUUUUCAAGCAGAAAUUUGCAUCCUGUAGCUCUAACUCCAAAAAGUUCUGGGACACUGUAAAGUCCAUGGAGAACAAGAGCACCUCCUCCCAGCUGCCCACUGCACUGAGGCUAGGUAACACGGUCACCACAGAAAAAUCCAUGAUAAUCGAAAACCUCAACAAGCAUUUCUCAACGGCUGGCCAUGCCUUCCUCCUGGCUACUCCAACCUUGGCCAACAGCUCAGCCACCCCUCCCUCCCCGCAGCUACUCGACUAA